rnacentral:rRNA from 1 species
ACAUGCCUACAACAUAGAGUUAAUGCAUUGGAUCCCGUUAGAACUCCAUAGUUAAGCGUGCUCAAGAUAGAGUAGUACUGGGAUGGGUGAUCGCCUUGGAAGUCCUAGUGUUUUACAUGCC